UGAGUUAAUACUGAGCUUAUUCAGUGUAAUAUAUUAGUUAUAAUAUAUACAUUGCAAAUUAGAAUAUGUUUUUGCUACUAUACACAAUAUAGUUGAACAAAAUUAUAAUAUUUUAUAUAUAAAGAAAUAUCGAUUAUAGAAGAAUAGUAGUGUAUAUUAAAAAUUGUAUAUGACGCGAAACUUAUGUUAGUAUGUCUAUAUACGUAUAUGUAUAAUAUUGGAUAAUUUCAAGGUGUGUGUCAAUUAAAUACACCUGACGUCUAUUAUUCAUAUAUUCAUAUAUAAAGCGUUGGCUACCUGAUUUUACCUACAUCAGGAUCACUACCGUGUUCUACAUCGACGCCAUUCGUCGUAAAUCAUAGAAUAUUAGAUAAGUUUAAAUAUUUAAAACAAGAAAUGUAUGAAUGUAAUAAUAUACACUAUAAUAGAAAAUAGUAAUGUGAUAAAUAUGUAAAUACUGACAUGUCAGAAGAGAUAAUGAACUUAAUAUUCGUCGUAUUUCCUAAUAACAAUAUAAUAUGAUAGAAUAGAAUAUAAUGGAUAUAAUAAUAAGCAAUAAAGUUUAGAAAGCGUGGUAUUGAUGAGGUCAGUAAAAAUUAUUCUUUGAUCCGUGAUAUAUAUGAACAAUCAGCAAGAACUAAUGGAAAAUCGUAGCGCUGAAGAGAAAUUCCGGAUCGUCGUGAUUUCUAAAGAGAUCAACGAUCCACGACUGUUACACUAAUUAAUUAAUUCCUCAUUCGACGAUCCCAUGCUAUGUCUAUUAGCGUAAGAAAGAACAAGAUAUCGUUUGUGUCCGUAUGUAUUCAUUGAUGUAUUUACGAAGAAUACUUCUUCGAGUAGGGAUUUCACGCAAAGCAGUAAGAAGAAUAAUACAUGGAAAAGGAUUACGUCCUUACAAGGUUCACCGUGUGUAAGGACUUCGUAGGAUGGAUUAUGCCGCUUGACGAAAAUUUUGUCACUGAAUGCUAAGAAAAUUAGAAUGUAAUCAACGCUGUCUUGAAGAUAUCUUGUUCACUGGAAGGACUGCUGUUACUAUUGCUACUGAGCAAUAUUCGGAAUCAUCAGAAUGCUACAAUUUUCGCGUAUAUUCACAUUAUGAUAUAGAAAUUUAAUCAGGACCGCUUGGACAGGCCCGGUUUAUUCUAUACCUGACAUUAACAUGUAAAUAAAAUCAGUUUGAAAAUUAAAGUGAUUGAUAUUAUACGUUCAUGAGUAAAUGUCAUUAUUUUGUGUUA